rnacentral:rRNA from 1 species
AUUGAACGCUGGCGGCAUGCCUUACACAUGCAAGUCGAACGGCAGCACGGGAGCAAUCCUGGUGGCGAGUGGCGAACGGGUGAGUAAUAUAUCGGAACGUGCCCAGUCGUGGGGGAUAACGUAGCGAAAGCUACGCUAAUACCGCAUACGAUCUAUGGAUGAAAGCGGGGGAUCGCAAGACCUCGCGCGAUUGGAGCGGCCGAUAUCAGAUUAGGUAGUUGGUGAGGUAAAGGCUCACCAAGCCGACGAUCUGUAGCUGGUCUGAGAGGACGAGCAGCCACACUGGGACUGAGACACGGCCCAGACUCCGACGGGAGGCAGCAGUGGGGAAUUUUGGACAAUGGGCGCAAGCCUGAUCCAGCAAUGCCGCGUGCAGGAUGAAGGCCUUCGGGUUGUAAACUGCUUUUGUACGGAACGAAACGGCGAGCUCUAAUACAGUUUGCUAAUGACGGUACCGUAAGAAUAAGCACCGGCUAACUACGUGCCAGCCGCCGCGGUAA